GGAGGUCAUUUACCCCACUAAAAAUCCGGGCUUCUGAUACGAAGGAAGUAAAGAAUGGCUUUGGGACCAAACAACCAGCAAUUUCUGCUUUUGGUGUGAAAUAGCGUGCCCAGAGUUUCUCAGUUGUGCCCUGUCUGCAGAAGACACUGCAUACCCCAGAGGUUUGUGCAGGCUUCCCACUGCAGCUGCCAUGCAGCAGAAACUGAAUGAUUCCAUAAAGUCAAGAAAUAACCAUGAUGGCUCUUCGUAAGCGGCUGCACUCACCUUUAUUUUCCUGCCUGCCUUCCUGGAGGGCAGUGAGACGCAGGCCCAGAUCCUUCACACAGGGGAGCGAGAAGAGAGGGAGGAAGAGGCUGCCCAUCAACAUUGCCACCAUGGCAGCCUCCUGCCCCUGAGAAAGUGGAAAUGCCCAGGCUUCCACAUUAAGGACUCAGAAAUUUCUAACACUUUACAAGAGGGAGGAGUGAACAGCAAGUGGUUUGGAAAUCACAAAUUUGUAGGAGCUCAGCAAGUGCUACUUAGGUCUAAGGGACACAGGGCAGGUUUGGAUUAAGAAAUGACACCAGUUUGGGGCCGGGCGCAGUGGCUCACGCCUGUAAUCCCAGCACUUUGGGAGGCCGAGGCAGGCGGAUCAUGAGGUCAGGAGAUCGAGACCAUCCUGGCUAACAUGGUGAAACCCCAUCUCUACUAAAAAUACAAAAACAAAGUUAGCCAGGCAUGGUGGCAGGCACCUGUAUUCCCAGCUACUCUCAAGACUGAGGCAGGAGAAUGGCAUGAACCGGGGAGGCAGAGGUUGCAGUGAGCCGAGAUCGCACCACUGCGCUCCAGCCUGGGCGACAGAGAAAGACUCCGUCUCAAAAAAAAAAAAAAAAGAAAGAAAGAAAUUAAAAAAAGAAAUGACACCAGUUUUGGCCAAAAAGUUCUUAAAAUGAGACUUCACAUUUUACAGAAAUAACAAUAAUAACUAAAGAAAAAAAAUCCUUUACCCUAUAGAUUAAAUCUGUUUUCUUUGCUUGUGCAACCCACUUAUUUUCAUGUGGAACCUGGACAUCUGAACUAGAAACAACAGCACCAGUCAGGGUUCAGUGGGAGACUAGUGGUACCUGUGAGAGGGAAAACUGAGCUGAGGUCAAGAAAUUGACUAUCUACAAAGAUGCGUGGGAUUAAGGGAAAUUAGUAAAGGAUGAUGAGAUGCCCAGGAACUAGCAACAGUCGGAAGCCAUUACCUAUGUUUCCUAGGUAACCUGGAAGGAGUUCCCAGAAUCUGGAAAGAAUGUAACAGCAGGGGAGCAUUGUUCAACAGGGGCUGUGCCUUCGGUAGAAGAAUGGAGCCACAGCCCCCCAUAGCCCACAGGAAGCUGGGGGGAGAAAGUCCCAACCUCACUCUCCUCCCGCCUCCAGUCUCCUCCCUUGGCCAAACCCAACAGAGGUCAGAGAUCAAAGGAGCCUAUUGAUGCAGAUCCUCAACCUUCUGGAGCACAGAGGAUGGUGGAGAGGGAGGAAAGGGGAUCUAAAGGGACAAGUGUAGAAUAUCCAGUGCAACAGCUUUUGAUUAGAAAAGAAAGUCAUAUUCCUUUGCUUAAUAUCCAAAUCACAGCAACUCUGAGCCCCUACCUCCCACAAAUUAGUCUUUUGCCCUCAAGCCCUGAAGAGGGUGUUGCACCCAACUUCCCUUACUGAUAGAACACAAGCCCCAGACCCUCACCUGCCACUGGCUUUUGGCAGGAUCUGUGACACUAAAAUUACAUCCGCUCUUUUCUAAUCCUAGCUAAUAUGGGCUAAGAGAGGACAGUCUUAGGAUUCUGGGAACUUCCUGUCCAGCUGAUUCACAAAAGUCACAGACCAGCUGUCUUCUAAAGUAAAACUACCUCCUGGCCAUGACUGUAAUAUGCUAGAUUUCUGGAGCCCUUUAGAAAAAUGGGCUCCUACCGGGCACGGUGGCUCACGCCUGUAAUCCCAG
rnacentral:lncRNA from 10 species